CUUAAAGCGUGUCGCAGAACAAUAUUGCGAAAGCUAACACCCUUUAGGCGAGCCGUUCGAAUGUAUUGGCUGGUCAUGACUUCCGCCAUGGAUGCCCUUGUCAUGCGGGCGAUGUAUCCCAUUCCAUAAAGUGCGAUUGUCAGAACUGGUAAAAGAAAGUUUUCAAU
rnacentral:ncRNA from 1 species